UCCUGCCGUCUGCACCUUGAUCUGAAAGUGUCAGCGAAAAAGCAAGGCCAUCCGCCCUAAAACACUGACUCCUCAGUGCCUUGUUAGCAACUGUCGUGGGGAGAGGAAAGCCUGGCUUGAAGGAGGUUGACACAGACAGCUGAAAUGAAGACUGGGGAUUACUGGAGAUCUCCACCAUCGGCCCCCAUGCCCCAUUAGCAUGGAGUGUGUGGCCUUUGAGCUUGCUGUGACCCAGGAUGUGAGGGGAUUGCCAUUCCCAUCCCCUGCCUCAUUCUGCCCUCCAGAUGCACAGGACGGAUGAAAUGGCCUCUCCCCAGAGGAGAAGGCAGCGGCUUGGCCCUGAAAUGAAAAAGAGAAAAAGAAGCUAAUUGUGAGGUGAGAUGAGGUGAGUUAUAUGGAAGAAAUAAACAGUUGGAAGAGAAAGUCAGUGAAGGGAAGCUUUCUAUGAGCCCCUGGGGUGGGGUACUUAGAAGGAACUGGGGUGUGAGGAGAAAGCAGAGAGAGACCAGUAGUGCAGGCAGCCCCAAAGUCAUGAGGCAGCUGAGUGCCUGGUGGGCCCUUGGUCAAGAGGAAGGGAGAGAAUGUGAGGCAAGGCCGCCUUACCAGCAUCUGGCAGGUCCUAUCCCCAAAGCCUGGGAAGCUAACGCAAAAUCAAGGACUAAAGUAAAGAGGGGGAUAUUGGCAGUCACAGAAGCUCCUUCUGCCUCUGGGAGGGUGCUCCCCCCCUUUCUUCCCACCAUGGCAUUCCCCUGCACUGGGGCAUUGAACACCCUCAGGCCCAAGGGCCUCUCCUCCCACUGAUGUCGAACAAGGCCAUCCUCAGCCAUAUAUACAGCUGGUGCCAGGGGUCCCUCCAUGUGUACUCUCUGGUUGGUGGUCCAGUCCCCAGGAGCUCCAGGGAGUCUGGCCAGUUGACAUUGUUGCUCCCUCUAUGGGGCUGCAACCCUCCUCAGUUCCUUCAGUCUCUUCUCCAACUCCUUCCUCGGGGAUCCUCGCUCAGUCCAAUGGUUGGCUGCCAGCAUCCGCCUUUGUAUUUGUCAGGCUCAGGACACAGCAGUAACAGGCUUAUGUCAGCAAGCACAUCCACAAUAGCAUCUGGGUUUGGUGACUGAAUAUGGGAUGGAGCCCCAGGUGGGGCAGUCUCUGGAUGGCCUUUCCUUAGUCUCUGCACCAUACUUUGUCUCCAUAUUUCCUCCUGUGAGUAUUUUGUUUCCCCUUCUAAGAAGCACUGAAGCAUCCACACUUUGUAAGGCAAGCCACAGUGGAGAAACCGUACUCACAUGUUCCGUAUCCCAUCAAGGGUGAGCAUCGUGGUGGGAAGAACUCUCGAAGCGCAACAACCAGAAGGCAAAUGAUCCAGUUCAAAGUGGGCAAGAGAUUUGAACAGACUCUUCCUCCAGGAUGGGCAGAUGGCGAAUAAAUCCGUG
rnacentral:lncRNA from 1 species